GGGAUUUACAGCUUGGGUGGAUGCGGUUGCUUUGGGUCAACUCCGGCGCGACCGCGCGAGGCCACCAACGCCGAUCUGCCUCCUUGCGUUCUCUGUUGGAAUCAUCCCUCAUGCCAAGCAACUUUACUAGAUGGGUCAAAUUAAAGGAAUGGUGUUGUUCAGCAAAAAUUGUUACCAUGCUUCUAUUUUUUUCUAUUUGACUGAAAAGUGACUGCUGCCAAUGAGAAUAGGAGUGGAGAAUGGAGGCAAGGCCAUCUAGACAAUGGCAACAGGGUUGAUGGAGACAAGGCAAUGAAGACGAGCCCCGGCUUGACAUUUCUGGGGUGACCUUUUUGAGUUUCUCGUGGGAGGACGCCGAGUAAAACUACCAAGAUACCAGCGAGAACCUCAAGACAAUGAUAUUCCUUGGUGCUUGUUUAUGACUGAAAUACCGAAACCUAACAUUUCAUCCGGUUUUGCCUUCUGCAAGGAUAGGAGAGGAGGUAUUGAUGUCAUGGGCAGUGGUGAAGCUAACCUGACUGAUUUCCCAGAAAAACCACCAAAGGUCCUGGCCAAUGAUUUUUUGCCCACUAAAAGUUUUGAGUAACUAUUCUAGACGGUUGUAUAACUGAAACAGUGGAUUCUGGGCAGAGCCGGGGCAACUGCCCAGCCUUGCCGGGCUGAAUCUCCGCCACUGGUCAUGGGAUAUCAAAUUACUGGAUUGAUGCCAUGGGGUAUCAAAUUACCUUUCUUGCCAAGAUCUAUUAAGUGUUGUUAAUUUCCCUUGGUUUAUGAAAAUGAUUCUUUUGUACUACUAUCUUGUCCUUUAGGUAGCACACCACGCCACUAUCUGUAUUUACCCCUCUCCAAUAACACAAUGUAUUUCUAGAUUUGUGGUACCUAUUUCUUUCAUUAGUAAAGGUGCUCAUGCACUUUGAUGCUUCUUUGUGGCUAUUUACCUAAAAGAGAGAAAAGUUUUGCAGGAGUUAUAUUACCAUUCUCAUUAAAUUAAUAGCUUCUCUUUUCUAAAAUUCAGCUAGAGUUAUAUUACCCCUCUCUCAGUUAUGUGUCUUUUAUUUACAAUCUGUUCUAUGUAAGAUAUGUAUAUCUUUCUGAAUCGUGCAUGCUCAUGUAGGUGCUUGAUAAACAGCAACAUGAACCUGAUCAGCUGUAGGAUAGUAGAUAUUGACUUUAAGUGAUGAACCUCUGGCUAUGGAGCUGAUUUUUCACCUUGGGGAAAUAUGCUGAAGCUCAUGGUUCUUUAAAUCAGACCAUCAAUGAUUCCUUGCCAUGAUAAUCUUGGAGCUCGCGCCUUAUUUCACUAUGUUAACUUAUUGCAAAUGUUGGAGCAGGAGCGGAACAAUACAUGAGCCUCUUUCAGUAUGACUAGAACAAGGCCUCAUUUGCUGAUGCCCAUAUACGAAGACAACUGGAAAGAAUUCUUGAGUGGGUUGUCAACAUUGAAGGAUUUCUUUGCAAGAUAGUUCAAAGUACAUCUAGGACUGGAUUGGAGUUUGUCGCCUCCACCACCCGAUUCCUGAUUUUUCACAUACACCGACUUUGUUUGCUUAAGGAAGAUGUCCAUGCCUGUGCAAGUUUUAUGAUGUAUCCUCAAAGAUUCUGAUUAUUUGGAAAGAAUUCUGGAGAAGACAUGGACUGUUUUCAAUGGCUUCUCAGUUCCGAAAUCAGCUCCUCUCUUGAUGUAUUGUUAUGAUAUUUCGGCACUGCUGUAAACAUUUUGAGUAGCUCUAAUCGAACAGCUUAUCUCGCACUUUACACUGUUGGGCCUCUCCCAUGAUGACUUCAGAAGUAAUUAUGUUAGACAUGGCUGCCUCUUGAGAGUGCUAUUAUAGUAUUGUUUGGCCAAAAAGGAUUAGAGGUACAUUAUAUUUUUCAUAUGGUUUGUAUUGUAAACACAUAUCGUGAUACUACUAAUACAUAAAAUAUUUUACCCAACGAUUGACUA